rnacentral:rRNA from 1 species
AACGAACGCUGGCGGCAUGCCUAACACAUGCAAGUCGAACGCUAUUUAUAGAGUGGCGCACGGGUGAGUAACACGUGGGAGCCUGCCUUUUUCUGCGGGAUAACGAUUGGAAACGAUCGCUAAUACCGCAUACGCCCUACGGGGGAAGGUCCGCCGGAGAAAGAGGGGCCCGCGUCUGAUUAGCUAGUUGGUAGGGUAAUGGCUUACCAAGGCGACGAUCAGUAGCUGGUCUGAGAGGAUGAACAGCCACACCGGAACUUAGACACGGUCCGGACUCCUACGGGAGGCAGCAGUGAGGAUUUUCCGCAAUGGGCGAAAGCCUGACGGAGCAAGACCGCGUGGGGGA